ACGUCGUAGACUCAGGGAGUCCGGUGUGCGGGGUAAGCUUGUGCACCGUGAGGGAGACAACCCAGAGCCAGGUUAAGGACCCAAAGUGUGGAUUAAGUGUGAUUGAAGAUUGUCUCGAGCCCUAAACAGCCGGGAGGUGAGCUUAGAAGCAGCUACCCUCUAAGAAUAGCGUAACAGCUUACCGGCCGAGGUUCGAGGCGUCGAAAAUGAUCGGGACUCAAAUCCACCUCCGAGACCUGGCGGCGUGUCUUAUGACACGAUUCCGUAGGUUGGCAUACUGCAUGGGUGGAAGCACGGGUGAGAACUCGUGUGGACCGUGCAGCAACGAAAAUCAUGGUCUCAGUAGCAGCGAGAGUCGGGUGUGAACCCCGACGGCCUUACGCGCAAGGGUUCCUCGGCACUGUCAAUCAGCCGAGGGUUAGUCGAUCCUAAGUCUANUAGAUGAAAGGGAAACUGGUUAAUAUUCCAGUACCUUCUUGCACUAAACGUCGACGCUUUAGGAAACACCGAGCGGGGCCUUCGCCCCGUCGAAUCACCGAAAUUCGUGGAAGCCGUAACGGCACGAAGCGAACGAAUGGUGAGAUAGAGAAAUUCGGCGGUACCUAGAGCCCGUGAAAAGACAAGCAAGAAGCUCGUACCGAGAUCCGACACAGGUGCGCUGGCAGAGCAAGCCAAGGCCUGUCGGGAUCAACCGACGUUAGGGAAUUCGGCAAGUUAGUCCCGUAAGUUCGCGAUAAGGGAUGCCUGCUCUUGACCGAGCAGGUCGCAGUGACUCGGACGCUCCGACUGUCUAGUAACAACAUAGGUGACCGCAAAUCCGCAAGGACUCGUACGGUCACUGAAUCCUGCCCAGUGCGGGUAUCUGAACACCUAGUACAAUAGGACGAAGGACCCGUCAACGGCGGGGGUAACUAUGACCCUCUUAAGGUAGCGUAGUACCUUGCCGCUUCAGUAGCGGCUUGCAUGAAUGGAUCAACGAGAGCGUCACUGUCCCAACGUUGGGCCCGGUGAACAGUACGUUCCAGUGCGGAGUCUGGAGACCCCCAAGGGGAAGCGAAGACCCUAUAGAGCUUUACUGCAGGCUGUCGCUGAGACGUGGUCGCUAAUGUGCAGCAUAGGUAGGAGCCAUUACACAGGUACCCGCGCCAGCGGGCCACCGAGGCAACAUUGAAAUACUACCCGUUAGUGACUGCGACUCUCACUCCUGGCGGAGGACACCGGUAGCCGGGCAGUUUGACUGGGGCGGUACGCGCUCGAAAAGAUAUCGAGCGCGCCCAAAGAUUUCCUCACGCGAGUCGGAAACUCGUGGAAGAGCGCAAGAGCAAACGGAAGUCUGACAGUGACAUUCCCAACGAGUGUCGCUGACGCGAAAGCGUGGUCUAGCGAACCUACGAGGUUCAUUCAUGGGACCCGUAGAUGACAGAAAAGCUACCUUAGGGAUAACAGAGUCGUCACCCGCAAGAGCACAUAUCGACCGGGUGGCUUGCUACCUCGAUGUCGGUUCCCUCCAUCCUGCCNGAGGUUGUUCGCCUAUUAAAGGAGGUCGUGAGCUGGGUUUAGACCGUCGUGAGACAGGUCGGCUGCUAUCUAUUGGGGGUGUUAAGGAACUUGACGUGAACGUUCGUAUAGUACGAGAGGAACUACGAAUGGGUGCCACUGGUGUACCGGUUGUCCGAGAGGGCAGAUGCCGGGCAGCUACGCACCACGGGGUAAGAGCUGAACGCAUCUAAGCUCGAAACCCACACGGAAAAGAAGUUCCACUGAGGACACUCGUAGAAGACGAGUUCGAUAGACUCGGGGGGUACGCAACGAGGCAACGAGUUGUUAAGCCCGCGAGCACUAACAGUCCAA
rnacentral:rRNA from 1 species